UACGUAGGGUGCGAGCGUAAUCGGAAUUACUGGGCGUAAAGCGUGCGCAGGCGGUUUUGUAAGCCAGAUGUGAAAUCCCCGGGCUCAACCUGGGAAUGGCAUUGGGACUGCAAGGCUGGAGUACGGCAGAGGAGACUGGAAUUCCGUGGUGUAGCAGUGAAAUGCGUAGAUAUCAGGAGGAACACCGGGUGGCGAAGGCGGGUCUCUGGGCCGAUACUGACGCUGGAGGAGCGAAAGCGUGGGGAGCGAACAGG
rnacentral:rRNA from 1 species